GAUAAACAAGCUGGACCUCGUUGCCAUGGUUCGAGUGGUGAGUAUUUCUUGGGAAAAAGGGGAAAAUCCAAGAGUGAUUUUUUUAUUUUCAUCUUCUUCCAUGGCAACUAAAUUUGAGUUACAAGUCUUCAUUGUUGCCGCCGGCUCCUCUAAAGACCUCCAUCUUCGCUGUCAACAUCUCUUUCUGUUAUCGCGAGUUGCUCGUAUUCCGACGAAACUGCAACUCCGGUCUUCAGCCCAAUAACCUUGGCAAGUCCAUAACCCAUACUUGAUUGCGCACUUUAUAGGCUGAAGAAUUGAGGGACGAAAGUGCAUUUGGAAUCGCGUUGUAGUCUGUGUCCAACAACAGUUUGUUCAUCAAAAUGCUCUUGUUUGUCUAUUAUGUUCAAUGGUAAUGGAAAAUGAAAUGUCAUCUUCAUCAAAGAACAGUUUAAAUGAUGGGAGUUUAACCAACAACGCCAUCCCAUGAGAAAGUUCCCUUAUUGCCAAAAGCCUAUAACUACCAUAGCUGAAACCGCCAAAAUACUACAAGAACAGCAGCAACUCAUCAAACUUAACUGCCAACUCGCAAGUCUCACGCAUUCAAACCAAUACAACGAUGCACUUCAUCUGUUUAAUAAAAUUCGCUCACUUCUUCACCACCUCAAACCAGACCAUUACACGCUCUCCACAACCCUCACUGCCUGUGCCAAUCUAUGCAACACCACAUUUGGCAGCAAGCUUCAUGCCCACGCCAUUAAAUCCAGCCUCAAAAGCUACCCUCACGUUUCAAAUACCCUCCUUUUGCUAUAUGCGAAAGUGCAAGACAUUGUCUCGGUGAAGUGGGUUUUUGGAGAAAUUGAAGACCCAGAUGUGUUUUCUUAUACAACGCUCUUAUCGGCAUGUACCAAGAUGGGACAUGUGGCCUAUGCCUUUGAGAUGUUUGUUGAAAUGCCACAGAAAGAUGUGGCUGUGUGGAAUGCAAUGAUUACAGGGUGUGUGGAGAGUGGGAACAAAGAGAUUGGAUUUGGUUUGUUCAGAGAUAUGUGUAGAUUGGGUGUUAGACAUGAUAAUUAUAGCUUUGCGAGUGUUCUAAGUGGGUGUAACUUGUUCACUGUGGAUUUUGGUUUGCAGGUUCAUUCAUUAGCGAUUAAAACUGGAUCUUUGGUUAGAAUUUCUGUUGUUAAUGCUUUGGUUACUAUGUAUUUUAACUGUGAAAAUGUUGAGGAUGCUUAUUUUGUGUUUGAUGAAGUAGAAGAUUCAAUACAUGAUCAGAUUACUUACAAUGUGAUGAUUAAUGGUUUGGUGAGCGUGGGGAGAGUUGAAGAAGCCUUGAUAAUGUUUAGAAAAAUGCUAGGGAACGGUCUUAGGCCUACUGAGUUUACUUUUGUAAGUUUGAUGAGCUCAUGCUUGUAUGCAGGAGUUGGGUAUCAAUUUCAUGCCCAAGCUAUCAAGAUUGGCUUUGAAGCUCAUACUUCCUUGAGCAAUGCAACUAUAAAUAUGUAUUCAAGUUGUGGGGACUUGAGUUCAGCCUGUAUGGUUUUCCAGAGACUGGAAGGGAAGGAUAUUGUCUCGUGGAAUACUAUGAUAUCCAGCUAUGCACAAGAAAAUUUUGGUACAUCAGCAAUUUUGACCUACCUAGAAAUGCAGAGAACUGGUAUUAGACCAGAUGAGUUUACUUUUGGAAGCUUGUUGGCUGGCUCAGAGCUUGUAGAAACUGUGGAGAUGAUUCAUUCCCUAUUAUUUAGAAACAGUCUCAUUUCAAAUAUACAAGUUUCAAAUGCUUUAAUUUCUGCAUAUUCCAAGCUUGGGAAUAUGAAGCAGGCUUAUCAAAUAUUUUGUGACCAGUUUUAUAGAAAUUUGAUCUCCUGGAAUACUAUUAUUUCCGGGUUCCUGUUAAAUGGGCUCCCAAUGCAAGGAUUAGAGCAAUUCUCUGAACUGCUGAUGUCAGAAUUCAGGCCAAAUGAGUAUACCCUCAGUAUUAUUUUAAGUAUUUGUGCAAGCAUAUUAGCUUUGAGACAAGGGAAACAGGUUCAUGGUUAUAUUAUGAGAUUAGGAUUCAGUUCAAAAAGUUCUUUGGGUAAUGCCCUUAUCACAAUGUAUGCCAAAUGUGGGCUUAUGCAUUGGUCUUUGAGGGUAUUCAAUGCAAUGACCAAAAGAGAUUUAGUUUCAUGGAAUGCCUUGAUAUCUGCUUAUGCACAACAUGGGAAAGGAAAUGAAGCUGUGCACUGGUUUGAGGCAAUGCAAGACUCCUGUGGGGUCCAACCAGAUGAGGCGACCUUUACAAUAAUUCUUUCUGCUUGCAGCCAUGCAGGUUUAGUUGAUGAUGGCAUUCGGAUUUUCAACUCCAUGGUUUGUAAGUGUGGUGUUGUUCCUGGGGUUGGUCAUUUUUCUUGUAUUGUUGACCUUUUAGGUCGUGCUGGGCAUUUCGAUGAAGUGGAAAUGAUAAUGAACAAUGAACAUUUUGAACCUCAUCCCAACAUCUGGUGGACAUUGUUAAGUGCUUGUGCAGCUCAUGGUAAUUUAAAGCUUGGAAGAUUAGUCGCUGGGUUUCUUCUUGAAACAGAACAAGAUAAUCCAUCAGUUUAUGUACUAUUGUCAAAUAUGUAUGCAGCUGCUGGUCAAUGGGAAGAAGCAGCUAAUGUAAGGUACUUGAUGAAUAACACCAGGGCGAUGAAGCAAACUGGGUAUAGUUGGAUCAGCUCAUGAAAAGAAUAUGCACCUGGGUUGAAUUUUAGGCUGGAUGUGCAAGUGAGGGAUGAAAUUUACCGUAGUUAUGAGAAACAUUAUGAUCUUCCCUGAAAUGUAAAGUUGGGUUAUUAUGAGUGGCGUUUCACCAUGACCCACUCUGGGUUAUUUCGUUCAAUGAAAUGUGUGUUAGAAUCUUCAGAUGAAUCCUUUAGCUUUGGAAAUAACUCUCACUAAUGUCAUUAAAGUGUUGGAAAGCAAGCAAAGACAUCCCGUGCUGGAGAAUUACUUGAUUACUACAUAAGGGAGCCUCAAUAGACAAUAUCCAUUUCAAUAAUGUUUGAGGGGAUUACAAGAUUAGAGAUUUGGAAGUAAACAAGUACCUAGCCCUGGAAAAUAUUUGGAAACCCGCAUUUCUCUAUCAAUCGAAAUGUCAGAGGUCCGAGUGAACAUAAGAGCUGCAGAUAGACCAAGGGAUCCGGCCAGGUGGAGUGAGAUUGCUGUUGUUGUAUCUGCAUUAUCUGUUCCAGUCAUUGCUAAUGGAGAUGUAUUUGAUUAUGGUGAUUUUGAACGAAUUGAAGUUGCAACAGGUGCAUCAUCAGUGAUUGUUGCAAGAGGAGCUCUAUUGAAUGCUUCUGUUUUCUCUCCUGAUGGCAAAGGGUACUGGGAAGAGGUCAAGGGAGAUUGUGUCAAAAAGGUUAGCCGGUAGCCACUGCCAGUGACUCCCUCAAAUGAAACGAGGAUAUUUAUUUUUAUUAUUUCCUUUCUGAAACAAGCUGAAAAUUUUCUCUUUGGGCGUCCCAUACAUUUUGGUUGAUAUCACUGUACGUCUUGUCAUGCAGUUUAAGUUUGCAACGAACCAGGAAUCUUGGUGAGCUUACAUGUUUUUGCAACUUUGAUUUCAGAGUAUCUUAUUGGACAAUGAUGUGAAAAGUACAAAGCACCCAUUGAGGGAAAUGAUUAUGCAUUAUUCUUG
rnacentral:misc_RNA from 1 species